rnacentral:rRNA from 1 species
CCUACGGGUGGCAGCAGUGGGGAAUAUUGGGCAAUGGAGGAAACUCUGACCCAGCAACGCCGCGUGAAUGAUGAAGGUCUUCGGAGUGUAAAGUUCUUUUCUAAGGGAAGAAGAAAGUGACGGUACCGUAGGAAUAAGCCACGGUUAACGACGUGCCAGCAGCCGCGGUAAUACGUAGGAGGCGAUCGUUAUCCGGGAUGACUGGGCGUAAAGGGUGCUUAGGUGUUUUGGCAAUUUAGUAGCGUAACUCCAAGGCUCAACCUUUGUACUACUACUAAAACUGUUGGACUUGAGUGCAGGAGGGGCAACCGGAAUUCCUAGUGUAGCGGUGGAAUGCGUAGAUAUUAGGAGGAACACCAGUGGCGAAGGCGGGUUGCUAGACUGUAACUGACACUGAGGCACGAAAGCGUGGGGAGCAAACAGGAUUAGAUACCCUUGUAGUC